UUCAAAAUGAUCAGGACCAACUGGAGAAAUGGUGUUAGUAAAUAGGAUGAAGUUCAAUAAGGACAAAUGCAAAGUACUCCAUUUAGAAAGGAACAAUCAGUUGCACACAUACAAAAUGGGAAAUGACUGCCUAGGAAGGAGUACUGUGGAAACGGA